rnacentral:rRNA from 1 species
AUUGAACGCUGGCGGCAGGCCUAACACAUGCAAGUCGAACGGUAACAGGAAGAAGCUUGCUUCUUUGCUGACGAGUGGCGGACGGGUGAGUAAUGUCUGGGAAACUGCCUGAUGGAGGGGGAUAACUACUGGAAACGGUAGCUAAUACCGCAUAACGUCGCAAGCCCAAAAAGGGGGACCUUCGGGCCUCUUGCCAUCGGAUGUGCCCUGAUGGGAUUAGCUAGUAGGUGGGGUAACGGCUCACCUAGGCGACGAUCCCUAGCUGGUCUGAGAGGAUGACCAGCCACACUGGAACUGAGACACGGUCCAGACUCCUACGGGAGGCAGCAGUGGGGAAUAUUGCACAAUGGGCGAAAGCCUGAUGCAGCCAUGCCGCGUGUAUGAAGAAGGCCUUCGGGUUGUAAAGUACUUUCAGCGGGGAGGAAGGGAGUAAAGUUAAUACCUUGGCUCAUUGACGUUACCCGCAGAAGAAGCACCGGCUAACUCCGUG